UGCCAGCCGCCGCGGUAAUACGGAGGGGGUUAGCGUUGUUCGGAAUUACUGGGCGUAAAGCGCGCGUAGGCGGAUUGGAAAGUUGGGGGUGAAAUCCCACGGCUCAACCGUGGAAUUGCGCUUGAAACCACUCGUCUUGAGGGGAUCAGAGGAGAGCGGAACUGAUGGUGGAGCGGUGAAAUGCGUUGAUAUUAUCAGGAACACCGGUGGCGAAAGCGGCUCUCUGGGAUCUUUCUGACGCUGAGGCACGAAAGCUAGGGGAGCGAACGGGAUUAGAUA
rnacentral:rRNA from 1 species